UACGGAGGGUGCAAGCGUUAUCCGGAUUCACUGGGUUUAAAGGGUGCGUAGGUGGGUUGGUAAGUCAGUGGUGAAAUCUCCGAGCUUAACUUGGAAACUGCCAUUGAUACUAUUUGUCUUGAAUACUGUGGAGGUCAGCGGAAUAUGUCAUGUAGCGGUGAAAUGCUUAGAUAUGACAUAGAACACCAAUUGCGAAGGCAGCUGGCUACACAAAUAUUGACACUGAGGCACGAAAGCGUGGGGAUCAAACAGG
rnacentral:rRNA from 1 species